rnacentral:tRNA from 1 species
GUCCAGGAAUGGGAAGCGAACCCACAGUGUUCUGCUUACCGGGCAGAUGCCAUGUCCACUAGGCUACCCUGGA